UUUAAUUUACUUAUAUGAAAUUUUGCUGUAGAUCUUAUUCAGUUUCUUCCUGUUUUCACUCACAAACUGUUCUCAAUAUCUAUCUAUGUUGUAUAUUUGUCCCAUUUGUUAAUCCUAUCUGUUGGGCAAAUUCUCACCUCAUUUUCUUUUAGAGUUGAACUUCUAGAUUGCCUUCCGCUCACCACCUCAAUGAGCAAUACAGUGGUGAAUGGUAUGUGCCCUUUAACGGGCAUGUGUGAGAAUUUCUCUGGGAGACACAUGGGUUUUCAGGGUCAUAGGACAUAAAUACUGGCAGGUUGCUUUUCUGAAUGGUUCAUCAACUUACACUCAGUGUAUGAGGGGUCUCAUUCACCAAUCAGUAGUAUCCUCCCUUCCAACUUUUUCUCGUCCUGAUGGGUACAGAAUAAAAUUUCAUGUUUGCUUUAAUUCAUAUAUAUGUUAUUAACAACCAGUGUGUGAGCAUCUCUUAAGUAAGAUCUUAGCCAUUCAACUUUCCCUUCUGUGAAUUGCCUUUGUUUCAAAGACAAAAAAAGCAGAUCAUUCAAUUUUCCCAUAAGCUAUAUGGGAAAUCCUGUAGGAACUGUGAAAAAAAUGUAUCUCACCUCUUUCUGUUGUCCAACUUACACUUCUCUUUAAAUAAUGUUACAGGCUGUCGAUAAGCUGAUAGAUUUGUUCAUUCCUUUUAGAAAUAUGUUCAGGCAAUAUAUAAUAUGUUCAGGAUGUAGAGGGGGGUAUAAGUCACAUGAUACCUGCCCUCAUGGUUUUCCUGAAUUGAUGGAAGAGAUGGGCCAGUGUUUUGUUGUCUUACUUUCUGGAGGAGUAAACGUCAAGGCGUGAGCUAUUCAUACUUCGAUAAAUGAUGAACUUCCUCUGCCACAUUUCCUUUUCUCAGUUGAAUUUGCAGUGUCCCUGGUAACUUUGAAGUAUGAAUUGCUGGUAACAACUAACAAAAGGACACAUUUACUGCUUCCAAUGUUUAUUAACUCAAAAACUCACUGAGGCAUCCUUUCUUAAAAAAAAAGGAAGAACAACUUAAGUACCAAAAUACUUUGCCAGUAUAUGCCCUCCUUAGAAAGAAAGAAGAGAGAGAGAGCUGUAAUCUAAUCCUCCCUCCACUCAUUCUGUAGUUGAGGGAAUGAAGUUCAGAGGGAUAUAAAUAAUCCUCAGUUUAGAGCCUUCUGGAAAUCUUCCCAAUACACCACCGUGGUUCUAUUUUUUUAAUGUUGUUUUCAUUUGAAACUAGAUUCAUGCAGCUUGCUCAUGUGAAAUGAGAAUGAAAAAAAAAAAAAGUUAGGGUCUGGAAAGGAAGAGAAGGAUUAAAUAAGGAGUUCUGCUAGGAUGUAGCCAUCAUAAUCUAAUACACCACAGGCAGCCCUGCUCCAGGGAAUCCUGACUUUCAAGGACUGGAGCUCUUGAGGACAGCUGGCACUCAGCUGGUCAUAUUGCCGGCCUCACAUAGCCUCACUGUCUCCCAUAAACUCAACUGAUGCUAUUUAGACUUUUUAAAAAAAAUUGCGGCACAGGAAAUUUUUCCUCAAUGCAUGUGAGAGCUGUUUGAUUCCCCAAAGAAAAAGACUUGGCAAGUCAGUUGUGAGGAAAGGAGAAAGACUGAACACAUGAGCACAUUUUAACAAUGUCCAAGUGUAAGUUUUAUUGCCAACGGUAGACAUGCACUGGAAUUUGAAUCCCAGCCCAAAUGCUAAAUGCGGUUGUUUUUAUCUAUGUGGAGAACAUUGCGGUUUUCUUCUGAGGUGAGUCACUUCGUUGUGAUUUAUGCAGUUAGUAAAUGUAUCUGAUUUGUUUUUGUUAGUGAGUUCAAAGUUUGUUUUUGCUUUUUAUUUGUUUUUGUUUCAUUUUGUUUUUUUUCCCAGUGAAGAAACUAUCAGGUCUGGUAAGAAUAAGAGGAAACAAAAUGUUAUUGGCAUGCUCAAUAAUGAUAAAGCCAAGAUGUCACCUGCCAGUACAAUGAAGAGGGACUGGGGUCUUGGCACUAAAAGUCUCCCUGAAUUGCCAUCAUGUCAUGAAAAAUACUUUGUUUUAAACUUAAUGGAAUGGAUUGUCAUUUUGGUGGAUUUUUGCCAGUGAAGAAUUUAUCAGACUCAAUAGCCUCCAUCACUUGGCAGGACAGAAAGGCCUCGAAAGCCUCUUUCAGUAUCUCUGAGCAUACCUAACAUUUAGAAAGGUAGGCCUGUGUAGCAAGUGUGAAAGUGUUCCUCUCCAUGCCCUUACGGCUUUACUCAACCAUGUUUCCUCUUUUAUCAUUUAUUGGAAAAACCUUUUACUAUCUCUUCUUACUUCCUUUCCUUUGUUAGCUACAAAGGGAAGAUUUUCUUUUGCAAAUCCUUAGUAAUUAAAUGAGCACUUCAGUGGCUGUAGCCCUCAAUGGCCUGUUUCCUAGGUUUUGCCUUUGACAGUCAUAUUUUGCAAAGGCCCCUGAGAUGACUCUGCAUCUUCCCCUACUCAACGCUAAACCAACUGAAGCCCGUGCUCACUGCAUGAAGGAGGAAAAGAUUCAUUAAGGGCACUUCAUUAAGAGGCUGAAAUGGGAAGCUCUAAAUGCGCCUGAACCAACUACAAUCCAGAGAAGCUGUCUAUUAGGAGUGCCACAAAGACAGUUUCGGAAGCUAAACUCCAGCUCCAGUGCAUCGGAUUAGGAAGAGUGAUGGGAUUAGUGUUUAAUGACUUGGGGCAGGAGACAAAGGGAAUUUCGACAAAGAGGCUUAGAUAUGGAAGAAUUAACACUCUGUAUUCCAACCAGGCCUCUGAUGACUUCCAGCAUUCUUUUCAGACUCAAAAGCCAAGGGAAGGGAAUAAAAAAAAAAAAAAGAUGUGCAAAGCUUUAAUACUUUUCUAACUUUUUUUAUUGCAACAACAAUACAGAGGAAAUAAAAGAACCCUAUUCACUCCUUUGGACUUGAAACCUCUUUUAAAAAUAAGCAUCUACAAUUGUAUAAUUAGCCCCAAGGUGAGCUUGCCCAGGGCCUCAAACAUGUGCCAGAAUGCUUCUCUGCUUCCUAAUGCUAGGGCAAGUCACAAACUGAUGUGGACACUAAAGCAAAACCUAUGGUAGCAGAGGCCCAGCUAAGUGGCUGUACAAGAUUUUUUUCUCUCCAUGGCUGUUUAUGUUACAGGUGCAACUGAAGGAACAGAGAAACUGUGUAAUUGUAAAACCUCCUUGUGGCCCCACAUGGCUCAUACUCAAAUGAUUCCAGUGUCUAUGGCCUGAGAAGUGCUUCAUGAAAUGAGGUGAUUAUCUUGACUACAUGAGGGGAUAACUUUGGAAAUGUGCUUAAAGUUCAAAAGUGCUCUUGAAAAGGCAUCAAGUCAACUCAGAGGCAAUGUUGGAGCUUAUCUGUAGCAUUUCCCCCGGCUUGGACAAGAAUACGGCAUCAUUAUCUAAACACAAAGCCAAAUGAACAGUGCCUCAAGUCAGAGAUUGGCAUGGUGAGUCGCCGGGAGGUGGAAAAGAGGCACAGCUUCAUUGAAGCUACAGUUGGCUGCAAGGAACCAUUUCAAAUCAUCUUAGUUCUACGGGGCCAUUCAGGUGGCAAAGGCCCAGGUAACAUUUGAUCAAGUUGCUACAGGGCUUGGACCUACUUUUAUUGCCCCUUACUUUUCCCACUAACAUUUUUGCUUGAAAUAUCGAUGUUUUUUUGGUGCAGCAAAACUCUUUUCCCACAGCUAAAUUGAAGUAGGGCAUAUGUGCUUCCCUCACCUCGCUCCCAGUCCCUCUUGACCCCGAAAUGGUCUAGCAGCCUGUGCUUUGUUAAACUGAAAAUGUGUAGAAAUUUUUAUAGAGAUAUUCAGCUAUAUAAAUAGCUUUGAAAUUUGUCAUAACUUUAAAAACAGGUCAAAAAGGAAAUUGAACAGCUAGUGAGUUUCUGUCUUAGUCCGUUUUGUGCUGCUAUAACAGAAUACCAUAAACUAGGUAAUUUAUAAACAAUAGAAGUUUAUUUGUCUCAAUGGCCAACAAGCAUAUGGAAAAAUGUUCAACAUCACUAAUUAUCAGGGAAAUACAAAUCAAAACCACAGUGCGAUACCACGUAACUUCUGCAAUAAUGGUCAUAAUCAAAAAAUAAUAAUAAAUAAAUAGAUGUUGGCAUGGAUAUGGUGAAAAGGGAACACUUUUACUGGGUUGGUGGGAAUGUAAACUAGCACAACCACUAUAGAAAACAGUAUGGAGACUCCUUAAAGAACUAAAAGUAGACCUACCAUUUGACCUAGCAACCCCACUGCUAUGUAUCUGCUCAGAAGUAAAGAAGUCAUUAUACAAAAAAGACACUUGUUACAUGCAUGUAUAUAGCAGUACAAUUGCCCAAAUGCCCAUCAAUCAAUGAGUGGAUAAAAAAUGUUAUAUACAUACAUAUAUGUGUGUGUAUAUAUACAUAUACAUAUACACACACACACACAUACACACACACACACACACACACACACAUAUACCAUGGAAUACUGCUCAGCCAAAGAAAGGAAUGAAAUAAUGGGAUUUGCAGCAACCUGGAUGGAAUUGGAGGCUAUUAUUCUAAGUGAAGUAACUCAGGAAUAGAUAACCAAACAUACAUGUUCUCACUCAUAUGUGGGAACUAAGCUAUGAGAAUGCAAAGGCAUAAGAAUGAUAUAUUGGAGUUUGGAGACUCAAAGGAAAGAGUGGGGGAGAGGGAGGGAUAAAAGACUACACAUUGGGUACAGUAUACAAUGCUUGAGUGAUGGGUGCAACAAAAUCUCAGAAAUCCCCACUAAUGAGCAUAUUCAUGUAACAAAAUACCAUCUGUUCCCCAAAACUUAUUGAAAUAAAAAAUAAAAAAUUAAUGAUAAUAACAAUAAAAAGAAGUUUAUUUGUCUUAUGUUUCUGGAGGCCAGGAAGUCCAAGAUCAAGGGGUUGCAUCUAGUGGGGGUCUUCUUGCUGAGUCAUAACCUGGCAGAAGACAUCACAUGAAGAGAGAAUGGAUGAGAGCCAGCAAGCAAGAGAGGGCCAAACUUGCUUUUAUAACAAACCCAUUCCUGACAUCAUGAACUUACCCCUGCCAUAAUGACAUUAAUCCAUUCCAGGGGGCAAAGCUCUCAUGACCUAAUCACCUCUCAAAAGUGCCACCUCUCGAUGCUGUUGCAUUGGGGAUUAAGUUUCCAACACAUGAACUCUGGGGAGAUGCAUUCAAACCUUAGCAGUUUAA
rnacentral:lncRNA from 10 species